rnacentral:rRNA from 1 species
UUAAGCGACUAAGCGUACACGGUGGAUGCCCUGGCAGUCAGAGGCGAUGAAGGACGUGCUAAUCUGCGAUAAGCGUCGGUAAGGUGAUAUGAACCGUUAUAACCGGCGAUUUCCGAAUGGGGAAACCCAGUGUGAUUCGUCACACUAUCAUUAACUGAAUCCAUAGGUUAAUGAGGCGAACCGGGGGAACUGAAACAUCUAAGUACCCCGAGGAAAAGAAAUCAACCGAGAUUCCCCCAGUAGCGGCGAGCGAACGGGGAGCAGCCCAGAGCCUGAAUCAGUGUGUGUGUUAGUGGAAGCGUCUGGAAAGGCGCGCGAUACAGGGUGACAGCCCCGUACACAAAAAUGCACAUACUGUGAGCUCGAUGAGUAGGGCGGGACACGUGGUAUCCUGUCUGAAUAUGGGGGGACCAUCCUCCAAGGCUAAAUACUCCUGACUGACCGAUAGUGAACCAGUACCGUGAGGGAAAGGCGAAAAGAACCCCGGCGAGGGGAGUGAAAAAGAACCUGAAACCGUGUACGUACAAGCAGUGGGAGCACGCUUAGGCGUGUGACUGCGUACCUUUUGUAUAAUGGGUCAGCGACUUAUAUUCUGUAGCAAGGUUAACCGAAUAGGGGAGCCGAAGGGAAACCGAGUCUUAACUGGGCGUUAAGUUGCAGGGUAUAGACCCGAAACCCGGUGAUCUAGCCAUGGGCAGGUUGAAGGUUGGGUAACACUAACUGGAGGACCGAACCGACUAAUGUUGAAAAAUUAGCGGAUGACUUGUGGCUGGGGGUGAAAGGCCAAUCAAACCGGGAGAUAGCUGGUUCUCCCCGAAAGCUAUUUAGGUAGCGCCUCGUGAAUUCAUCUCCGGGGGUAGAGCACUGUUUCGGCAAGGGGGUCAUCCCGACUUACCAACCCGAUGCAAACUGCGAAUACCGGAGAAUGUUAUCACGGGAGACACACGGCGGGUGCUAACGUCCGUCGUGAAGAGGGAAACAACCCAGACCGCCAGCUAAGGUCCCAAAGUCAUGGUUAAGUGGGAAACGAUGUGGGAAGGCCCAGACAGCCAGGAUGUUGGCUUAGAAGCAGCCAUCAUUUAAAGAAAGCGUAAUAGCUCACUGGUCGAGUCGGCCUGCGCGGAAGAUGUAACGGGGCUAAACCAUGCACCGAAGCUGCGGCAGCGACGCUUAUGCGUUGUUGGGUAGGGGAGCGUUCUGUAAGCCUGCGAAGGUGUGCUGUGAGGCAUGCUGGAGGUAUCAGAAGUGCGAAUGCUGACAUAAGUAACGAUAAAGCGGGUGAAAAGCCCGCUCGCCGGAAGACCAAGGGUUCCUGUCCAACGUUAAUCGGGGCAGGGUGAGUCGACCCCUAAGGCGAGGCCGAAAGGCGUAGUCGAUGGGAAACAGGUUAAUAUUCCUGUACUUGGUGUUACUGCGAAGGGGGGACGGAGAAGGCUAUGUUGGCCGGGCGACGGUUGUCCCGGUUUAAGCGUGUAGGCUGGUUUUCCAGGCAAAUCCGGAAAAUCAAGGCUGAGGCGUGAUGACGAGGCACUACGGUGCUGAAGCAACAAAUGCCCUGCUUCCAGGAAAAGCCUCUAAGCAUCAGGUAACAUCAAAUCGUACCCCAAACCGACACAGGUGGUCAGGUAGAGAAUACCAAGGCGCUUGAGAGAACUCGGGUGAAGGAACUAGGCAAAAUGGUGCCGUAACUUCGGGAGAAGGCACGCUGAUAUGUAGGUGAAGUCCCUCGCGGAUGGAGCUGAAAUCAGUCGAAGAUACCAGCUGGCUGCAACUGUUUAUUAAAAACACAGCACUGUGCAAACACGAAAGUGGACGUAUACGGUGUGACGCCUGCCCGGUGCCGGAAGGUUAAUUGAUGGGGUCAGCGCAAGCGAAGCUCUUGAUCGAAGCCCCGGUAAACGGCGGCCGUAACUAUAACGGUCCUAAGGUAGCGAAAUUCCUUGUCGGGUAAGUUCCGACCUGCACGAAUGGCGUAAUGAUGGCCAGGCUGUCUCCACCCGAGACUCAGUGAAAUUGAACUCGCUGUGAAGAUGCAGUGUACCCGCGGCAAGACGGAAAGACCCCGUGAACCUUUACUAUAGCUUGACACUGAACAUUGAGCCUUGAUGUGUAGGAUAGGUGGGAGGCUUUGAAGUGUGGACGCCAGUCUGCAUGGAGCCGACCUUGAAAUACCACCCUUUAAUGUUUGAUGUUCUAACGUUGACCCGUAAUCCGGGUUGCGGACAGUGUCUGGUGGGUAGUUUGACUGGGGCGGUCUCCUCCUAAAGAGUAACGGAGGAGCACGAAGGUUGGCUAAUCCUGGUCGGACAUCAGGAGGUUAGUGCAAUGGCAUAAGCCAGCUUGACUGCGAGCGUGACGGCGCGAGCAGGUGCGAAAGCAGGUCAUAGUGAUCCGGUGGUUCUGAAUGGAAGGGCCAUCGCUCAACGGAUAAAAGGUACUCCGGGGAUAACAGGCUGAUACCGCCCAAGAGUUCAUAUCGACGGCGGUGUUUGGCACCUCGAUGUCGGCUCAUCACAUCCUGGGGCUGAAGUAGGUCCCAAGGGUAUGGCUGUUCGCCAUUUAAAGUGGUACGCGAGCUGGGUUUAGAACGUCGUGAGACAGUUCGGUCCCUAUCUGCCGUGGGCGCUGGAGAAUUGAGGGGGGCUGCUCCUAGUACGAGAGGACCGGAGUGGACGCAUCACUGGUGUUCGGGUUGUCAUGCCAAUGGCACUGCCCGGUAGCUAAAUGCGGAAGAGAUAAGUGCUGAAAGCAUCUAAGCACGAAACUUGCCCCGAGAUGAGUUCUCCCUGACUCCUUGAGAGUCCUGAAGGAACGUUGAAGACGACGACGUUGAUAGGCCGGGUGUGUAAGCGCAGCGAUGCGUUGAGCUAACCGGUACUAAUGAACCGUGAGGCUUAACCUU